CGAAGAAGAUUCGAUGGGCUACCUGUGUGGACACACCUGCAAAUUGCACCCUGCAUGAGAUGUGCUAUUCUGGGUGCAGAAAAUGAGUGCCGCCUUUUCAACAAAGCUCCUCCCCAAAGCUGCAGUCUCAAGCCCAGCUUCGCCUCACAGAGCACACCUACCUUGCGACUCUCCUUCUCAGCUCCUUCAGACUAGCGGUAGCAGCAAUUAGCAAACAUCUGGUGGAACUGCGCAUCUGCUGAGCGCUUUAUAUGACCUACUUCUCAGUUAUGCCACCCCAAACACAGCGCCACUCUGCAGG